GCGCCCAUAGCUCAAUCGGUAGAGCAGCGGACUCUUAAUCCGUUGGUUCCAGGUUCGAGUCCUGGUGGGCGCACCA
rnacentral:tRNA from 1 species